UCCGGCGUAGCUCAGUGGUAGAGCGAGGGACUGUUAAUCCCCAGGUCGCAGGUCCGAAUCCUGCCGCCGGAGCCA
rnacentral:tRNA from 1 species